UGUGUGUGUGUGUGUGUGUGUGUGUGUGUAGCUGUAUGAGGAAGUAAGGAAGUCGUUUGAACAGUGUGAUGUUCAGGAGGAUAUUGAACACUUCGUAAACCUCAGGCGAAUCGACGAAAAACCUCCAGCUGUGGUUGUGUAUGAGAACUUCUACAGCGUUCAGAGGGCUCAACCUGGAGCUCCUCCAUCCAGACCGCCUCCACAAAACCCCAGGAGGGGGCCGUUACCUGAUCCAACAGAAAACAACGAUGUGAUCUACUCCACGGUGCAGGACGCAGGCUACAGUGUUAUCCAGUACUAACACACACACACACACACACACACACACACACACACACACACACACGAAACUUCCUUCUUAUCACUUCCUCCUUUGUGAUU